rnacentral:rRNA from 1 species
UACGUAGGCAGCAAGCGUUGUUCGGAGUUACUGGGCGUAAAGAGUGCGUAGGCGGUCCUGUAAGUUUGGUGUGAAAUCUCCCGGCUCAACUGGGAGGGUGCGCCGAAGACUGCAGGGCUUGAGUAUGGGAGAGGUAAGCGGAAUUCCUGGUGUAGCGGUGAAAUGCGCAGAUAUCAGGAGGAACACCAAUUGCGAAGGCAGCUCGCUGGGACGUUACUGACGCUGGAGAACGCGAAAGCGUGGGGAGCAAACAGG